ACAUUUAUCAUAAAUGUAGACAUUUGACCAAUGUGAUUCUUAUUUUUAGAUAAAUGUUUAUACCUAAAGCUAGGCUUUUAGUAUACACUCUAACAGUUCUGUUGCAUGAUGAAUAGGUGUGGGAUGCUUCAACUGGAUAGAAACAGUAUACUGGACAGAAACAGAAUUAUAUAUUUCUAGUGUUUCAUUAUUUCUAUCUAUGAUGUUUUUCUUCUCAACUUCAACUGAUGGUAAAAUCAAAGCACUUGGUUCCAAUGCAGUUUUUCUUCUGGAUGCAGUUUACUAGCACUUGGUUCCAAUGCAGUGCAUAAACUCUGGCAGUGGCCGUGCGAUGAACGAAAUCCAUCGGGCAAGUCAAUUGCAUCUGUUGCUCCUCAGCUCCGUCAGCCACCAAAUGGUAUUCUUAUGACCAAUGAAAGGAGUGAUAACAAUCCAGAAGAAGCAACUGCUUGUAUUGCUUUAUCUAAGAAUGACUCUUAUACAACGUCUGCAUCAGGUGGAAAAGUUUCUCUGUUAAAUAUGUGGACUUUUAAGGUUAUAACCACUUUUAUGCCAACCCCACCGGUAGCCACGUCUUUAGCAUUUCAUCCUGCAGAUAAUAACAUGAUUGCUGCUGGAAUGGAAGAUUCUAGUAUUUUGAUCUAUAAUAUUCGGAUUGAUGAGAUAUUUUGAAGGUAAAUGGAUGUAUUCAGGAACUCCAACUAAACAGUUCAGGUAUUGGAGAUGAGGUUGUUUAAUUUUACAUGUUGCAAGUUCCGGUUGUUUGUUUCUUGAGGAAGAAAAUGAUUCUUGAUUCUGGUAAAGUCUGAAUGCUAAAUAUGUUAUGUAGGGUGCAAGGGUUAUUGCAGAUAUGCUAAAAGAAAAUCAAACUUUACGUGUACUGGAACUUAACAAUAAUAUGAUUGAAUAUUCUGGUUUUGCAAGUCUUGCUGGAGCACUAGUUGAGAAUAAAGCAAUUCGAUCUAUACAUCUCAAGCUAAUAAGACUUACACACACUUAGAUUUUCUAUCCAUGCAGUUCUUUCUUGCAGAUUUAAUUUCUUCAUCAGAUCUGUUGGCUUUCUAGUAUUUAUUGAUUGUACUACUUCUCAGCAAUUAUGUAAAAUUAUAUUUCUUUUUGUUUAGGAAAAAUAACACUUCUAGAUAUUGGCAACAAUGAGAUUGGUCCCAAAGGCGCCUUUAGCAUCGCUGAGUUUGUUAAGAAAACUAAGUCCUUGCUACGGCUGAAUCUUUACAUGAAUGACAUUGGCAAUGCGGUGUGGUUAUUGACUAUUGUUGCUUUAUGCUCCGUUGCUUCACUUUUGAAACAUAAAUUAUCAUCUAAGGUGCAUAUAUAUAUAUCUCACUGGAAAUCAUAUAAAUGAAUUGAUGUUAUUCACCUUUAUUGCUGCUGAGGAAUUUAUUUACUUUCCAUGUACUCUUAGUGAUAAAAAUGAAUUUAUUAUUUGCAAACUAAAAGUGAAUUUAUUUACUUUUCAUGUACUCUUAGUGGUAAACGGUUAUGUCAUUUGGGCCGACUACUAAUGAAUUGAAUUUGAAAGAUUAAAUUGUUGUUUAUGUAGUUAGAUUAAAAUUUUUGGUUUGGAUUAUAUUAAGU